AGUGAACGCUGGCGGUAGGCCUAACACAUGCAAGUCGAACGGCAGCACAGGAGAGCUUGCUCUCUGGGUGGCGAGUGGCGGACGGGUGAGGAAUACAUCGGAAUCUACUCUGUCGUGGGGGAUAACGUAGGGAAACUUACGCUAAUACCGCAUACGACCUACGGGUGAAAGCAGGGGAUCUUCGGACCUUGCGCGAUUGAAUGAGCCGAUGUCGGAUUAGCUAGUUGGCGGGGUAAAGGCCCACCAAGGCGACGAUCCGUAGCUGGUCUGAGAGGAUGAUCAGCCACACUGGGACUGAGACACGGUCCAGACUCCUACGGGAGGCAGCAGUGGGGAAUAUUGGACAAUGGGCGCAAGCCUGAUCCAGCCAUACCGAGUGGGUGAAGAAGGCCUUCGGGUUGUAAAGCCCUUUUGUUGGGAAAGAAAUCCAGCUGGCUAAUACCCGGUUGGGAUGACGGUACCCAAAGAAUAAGCACCGGCUAACUUCGUGCCAGCCGCCGCGGUAA
rnacentral:rRNA from 1 species